CUGGAAUCUACACCCCUGAGCCCAGGGUCCUUAAAUAGCCAUUUAACUUGUUUAUCUGAACAGAAGUAGGUCACUGACAACAUGCAAAAAAUCAAAAAGUUGAUCGGACCCAAAUAUGUCUCCAUUGUCAGAGCGUGUAGAUGGAGUGGCUCUUGUGUAUUUUACAGACUGGCGGCUCAUUCUGGAUUAUGUUCCUUACAUUAGAGGUGAUGUCCUUUGACCAGCCUGUAGGCGGCGCUGGUGAUGAAAAAUGAAGACUGAAGAGACUAAUCCCUUCAAGACUUCAAAGAUUGCAGCGACAUCUUUGGUUUUUGACCGGAAUGACAACGAGGUGUUGAGGGAUAGAUGUACAGUCUCUUCAAUGAGUUAUACAGUUGUUUAAAGUGUUUUUGAAUCGUUCCACUGACGAAACAUUGAAAAUAUAUCUUUCCAAGAAAUUUCUGCUGACAAAAAACUACAGACAACAUGAGUUGUGGAAUAAUAGAUUUGAUCUAGGUGCUUUUUGAUAGCUUUAUACAGUGCACGUCAUUGAUAUUGUAUAAUAUUUUGCAAUUUCCUGUUACAGAAUGACUUGUAAAGCAGACUGUAAACAACUCGUGCUAAUGAGUUGCCUGUC